UGGGGAAUAUUGCACAAUGGGCGCAAGCCUGAUGCAGCAACCCCGCGUGAGGGACGACGGCCUUCGGGUUGUAAACCUCUUUUAGCAGGGAAGAAGCGAAAGUGACGGUACCUGCAGAAAAAGCGCCGGCUAACUACGUGCCAGCAGCCGCGGUAAUACGUAGGGCGCAAGCGUUAUCCGGAAUUAUUGGGCGUAAAGAGCUCGUAGGCGGUUUGUCGCGUCUGCUGUGAAAUCCCGAGGCUCAACCUCGGGUCUGCAGUGGGUACGGGCAGACUAGAGUGCGGUAGGGGAGAUUGGAAUUCCUGGUGUAGCGGUGGAAUGCGCAGAUAUCAGGAGGAACACCGAUGGCGAAGGCAGAUCUCUGGGCCGUAACUGACGCUGAGGAGCGAAAGGGUGGGGAGCAAACAGGCUUAGAUACCCUGGUAGUCCACCCCGUAAACGUUGGGAACUAGUUGUGGGGUCCAUUCCACGGAUUCCGUGACGCAGCUAACGCAUUAAGUUCCCCGCCUGGGGAGUACGGCCGCAAGGCUAAAACUCAAAGGAAUUGACGGGGACCCGCACAAGCGGCGGAGCAUGCGGAUUAAUUCGAUGCAACGCGAAGAACCUUACCAAGGCUUGACAUAUACGAGAACGGGCCAGAAAUGGUCAACUCUUUGGACACUCGUAAACAGGUGGUGCAUGGUUGUCGUCAGCUCGUGUCGUGAGAUGUUGGGUUAAGUCCCGCAACGAGCGCAACCCUCGUUCUAUGUUGCCAGCACGUAAUGGUGGGAACUCAUGGGAUACUGCCGGGGUCAACUCGGAGGAAGGUGGGGAUGACGUCAAAUCAUCAUGCCCCUUAUGUCUUGGGCUUCACGCAUGCUACAAUGGCCGGUACAAAGGGCUGCAAUACCGUAAGGUGGAGCGAAUCCCAAAAAGCCGGUCCCAGUUCGGAUUGAGGUCUGCAACUCGACCUCAUGAAGUCGGAGUCGCUAGUAAUCGCAGAUCAGCAACGCUGCGGUGAAUACGUUCCCGGGUCUUGUACACACCGCCC
rnacentral:rRNA from 1 species